rnacentral:rRNA from 1 species
GACGAACGCUGGCGGCAUGCUUAACACAUGCAAGUCGAACGGAAGUAUCGAAGAAGCUUGCUUUUAAGAUACUUUAGUGGCGGACGGGUGAGUAACGCGUGAGGAGCUGUCCUAUGCAGGGGGACAACAGUUGGAAACGACUGCUAAUACCCCAUAAGCCGAGAGGUAAAAGGAUUUAUACGGCAAAGGAGGUACUCGCGUCCUAUCAGCUAGUAGGUGAGGUAACGGCUCACCUAGGCGAAGACGGAUAGCCGGCCUGAGAGGGCGAACGGCCACACUGGAACUGGGAUACGGUCCAGACUUCGACGGGAGGCAGCAGUGGGGAAUAUUGGGCAAUGGGGGCAACCCUGACCCAGCGACGCCGCGUGGGUGAAGAAAUCCUUCGGGAUGUAAAGCCCUGUUGUAUGGGAAGAGCAGAAGAAGGUACCAUACGAGGAAGCCCCGGCAAACUACGUGCCAGCCGCCGCGGUAA